AUUGAACGCUGGCGGCAGGCCUAACACAUGCAAGUCGAGCGAGCGGCGGACGGGUGAGUAAUGUCUGGGAAACUGCCUGAUGGAGGGGGAUAACUACUGGAAACGGUAGCUAAUACCGCAUACCAUCAGAUGUGCCCAGAUGGGAUUAGCUAGUAGGUGGGGUAACGGCUCACCUAGGCGACGAGCCCUAGCUGGUCUGAGAGGAUGACCCGGCACACUGGAACUGAGAGAUGGUCCAGACUCCUACGGGAGGCAGCAGUGGGGAAUAUUGCACAAUGGGCGCAAGCCUGAUGCAGCCAGGCCGGGUGUAGGAAGAAGGCCUUCGGGUUGUAAAGCACUUUCAGCGGGGAGGCGUUACCCGCAGAAGAAGCACCGGCUAACUCCGUGCCAGCCGCCGCGGUAAUUC
rnacentral:rRNA from 1 species